GGGCGAGUGGUGGAAUGGUAGACACGCCAGACUCAAAAUCUUGUGAGCAAUAGCUCGUGUGGGUUCAAGUCCCACCUCGCCCACCA
rnacentral:tRNA from 1 species